CAGCAUGCACAGAGCCCAGGAGUGCAGACAUGAAGCGUGCGCUGUUGUGUGUGCUGAUGGCUGCAUGGAGCCUCGGAAGCGAUAGCCAGACGGAGAAGGUGCACGCCAUGAGAGGCGGCUCCGUGACGCUGGACUGCAGCUGUGAAGCCAACGACUACGUCUUCUGGUACAAAUGGAACGGCCAGGUGGCACCAAAGUUCAUACUGAGCUAUUAUAAGACUGAGAGCAGCUUUGAAAAGAGGUUCAGCUGCAGCUUCAAUGACACCGCCAAGCGAGCUCCUCUGAAGAUCCAAGACGUGCAGCUGAGCGACUCUGCAGUUUUCUACUGCGCCGUUCGGCCCACAAUGACUGACAUCUCUGCUGCACCCGCACAAAAACCCCUUUAAGCCCCUCAGGUCAAAGGUCACACUGGUGGCGUCGCCUCACAGAUAUCCCUUUUCCAUUGUGGCUAUUUAAGAGCUGGUUCCAAGGAGGUUUUUACAGCUUUUUUUUAAUUUUUAUUUAAGAUUUAUUUAGGAUUUUCAAUUUUUAUAACACAUAUACAGCAGUAUACAUUGAAAUGUUGGCAAUGCAAAUGCCCACAAAACGCCACAAACAA